UACGAAGGGUGCAAGCGUUACUCGGAAUUACUGGGCGUAAAGCGUGCGUAGGUGGUCUGUUAAGUCUGAUGUGAAAGCCCUGGGCUCAACCUGGGAAUUGCAUUGGAUACUGGCAGGCUAGAGUGCGGUAGAGGGUAGUGGAAUUCCCGGUGUAGCAGUGAAAUGCGUAGAGAUCGGGAGGAACACCAGUGGCGAAGGCGGCCAGCUGGGCCGUCCCUGACACUGAGGCGCGAAGGCGUGGGGAGCGAACGGG
rnacentral:rRNA from 1 species